GUGGGGAAUUUUGGACAAUGGGCGCAAGCCUGAUCCAGCCAUGCCGCGUGCAGGAUGAAGGCCUUCGGGUUGUAAACUGCUUUUGUACGGAACGAAAAGGUGCCUUCUAAUAAAGGGCGCUCAUGACGGUACCGUAAGAAUAAGCACCGGCUGACUACGUGCCAGCAGCCGCGGUAAUACGUAGGGUGCGAGCGUUAAUCGGAAUUACUGGGCGUAAAGCGUGCGUAGGUGGUUGUUUAAGUCUGAUGUGAAAGCCCUGGGCUCAACCUGGGAAUGGCAUUGGAAACUGGGCAGCUAGAGUGCGGUAGAGGGCAGUGGAAUUCCCGGUGUAGCAGUGAAAUGCGUAGAGAUCGGGAGGAACAUCUGUGGCGAAGGCGACUGCCUGGACCAGCACUGACACUGAGGCACGAAAGCGUGGGGAGCAAACA
rnacentral:rRNA from 1 species